rnacentral:ncRNA from 1 species
UAGGGAAACCGAGUCUUAACUGGGCGAUUAGUUGCAAGGUAUAGACCCGAAACCCGGUGAUCUAGCCAUGGGCAGGUUGAAGGUUGGGUAACACUAACUGGAGGACCGAACCGACUAAUGUUGAAAAAUUAGCGGAUGACUUGUGGCUGGGGGUGAAAGGCCAAUCAAACCGGGAGAUAGCUGGUUCUCCCCGAAAGCUAUUUAGGUAGCGCCUCGUGAACUCAUCUUCGGGGGUAGAGCACUGUUUCGGCUAGGGGGCCAUCCCGGCUUACCAAACCGAUGCAAACUCCGAAUACCGAAGAAUGUUAUCACGGGAGACACACGGCGGGUGCUAACGU